GCCUUAAAUCUAGCCCACAUGAUCCGCAUGAUACUCCCCAACAUCUGUAAAAAAUAAAACAUUUUAACAUUUUAGUAUAGGCGAUAGAAAAAUUAUUAAGCGCUUUAGACAGAGUACCGCAAGGGAAAUAUGAAAUAGUAAUGAAACAAUUUUUAUAGCCACAAACAGCAGAGACACCCCCUCGUACCUUUCGCAUCAUGGUCUAGCUAGUCCACCCGAGCAAAAUGAAAAUUUUAGUUCGACACCCCGAAACUAGACGAGCUACUUCAAAACAGCCCACAGGGGCCAACCCUUCUCUGUUGCAAAAGAGUGGGAAGAUUUUUAAGUAGAGGUGAUAAGCCUACCGAGCCUAGAGAUAGCUGGUUGUUCAGGAAAAGAGUUUUAGCUCUGCCUUAAGUUUUUUCAUUUCAUCAAACAAGCCCUUAAACUUAAGAGUUAUUCAAAUUAGGCACAGCUUAUUUGAAACAGGAUACAACCUCCACCACCGGGUAAACAAGGGUAGUCAAAACUAAGUGGGCCUAAAAGCAGCCACCUUUCAAAAAGCGUCAAAGCUUAUCUACUCCAACCCCCAAUUUCUAAAAUACUCCCUAACCCUUCAUUCCUACUGACCCCUUUUAUAUUGUUAUAAAAAUAAUUAUGCUAGAACUAGUAACAAGAAGUCGCCCUUCUCCAUAAUGUAAGUAUAAACCAAAAUGGACCUUCCAUUGGUAAUUAACGUAAAUGCAAACCCCAUAAUAACAUAACCAGAAAACCUUAUGGCCCCCCACGUUACCCUAACACUAGAACAUUACAGGAAAGAUUAAAAGAGAAAGAAGGAACUCGGCAAAUUUUAACCCCGCCUGUUUACCAAAAACAUCGCCUCUUG
rnacentral:rRNA from 1 species